CCUACGGGUGGCUGCAGUGGGGAAUAUUGGACAAUGGGGGCAACCCUGAUCCAGCCAUGCCGCGUGUGUGAAGAAGGCCCUCGGGUUGUAAAGCACUUUCAGUGAGGAAGAACGCCUGGUGGUUAAUACCCAUCAGGAAAGACAUCACUCACAGAAGAAGCACCGGCUAACUCCGUGCCAGCAGCCGCGGUAAUACGGAGGGUGCGAGCGUUAAUCGGAAUUACUGGGCGUAAAGCGCGCGUAGGUGGCUUGAUAAGCCGGUUGUGAAAGCCCCGGGCUCAACCUGGGAACGGCAUCCGGAACUGUCAAGCUAGAGUGCAGGAGAGGAAGGUAGAAUUCCCGGGGUAGCGGUGAAAUGCGUAGAGAUCGGGAGGAAUACCAGUGGCGAAGGCGGCCUUCUGGACUGACACUGCCACUGAGGUGCGAAAGCGUGGGUAGCAAACAGGAUUAGAUACCCCGGUAGUC
rnacentral:rRNA from 1 species